rnacentral:hammerhead_ribozyme from 1 species
AUCCAAGUGACGGGUCCCAAAUAGGACUAAAUUCGCAUCCUGGAU